UAGAGGUUCAGAAUUCUGGGAUCUACCAUAUACGAAGAUGGAGAGACCCUGAAGUGAGCUGGCAGGCCGGAUUUUCAAGCACAUUACAGGAAUUUUGUAGAGGGAAGUCCAGCAUGCUGGGGUCUACCAUUUACCAAGAUGGAGAUGUCCAGGCGCUCCAGUAGUUCAUUCCAGUUAAUAGCCCUCCAAUCUGGCUGCUGACUUUAAUUUGGAAUUCACUGAAGUGUUGAUAGCGAUGACCUGGACCACUGUGAUUUGAGAUUAGCAGGACUAAAACCCAACAUGAAAAAGAAGUCCUCUGGUACACAAGGAAAGCAAUCACAGGAGGGAUCUUCCACAAGACCGGAGUUGAUGAAAGGCUAUUUGUCUCCUGUCACCGGCACCAAAGCUUUAAAGAAUCCUUCCAGUGAUGGUCCCACAUGAAGAACAAAGUUCCUGGGCUGAAGAGGGAGAGGCACUUAGCU
rnacentral:lncRNA from 1 species